GACGAACGCUGGCGGCGUGCUUAACACAUGCCAGUCGAACGGAAAGGCCCUGCUUUUGUGGGGUGCUCGAGUGGCGAACGGGUGAGUAACACGUGAGUAACCUGCCCUUGACUUUGGGAUAACUUCAGGAAACUGGGGCUAAUACCGGAUAGGAGCUCCUGCUGCAUGGUGGGGGUUGGAAAGUUUCGGCGGUUGGGGAUGGACUCGCGGCUUAUCAGCUUGUUGGUGGGGUAGUGGCUUACCAAGGCUUUGACGGGUAGCCGGCCUGAGAGGGUGACCGGCCACAUUGGGACUGAGAUACGGCCCAGACUCCUACGGGAGGCAGCAGUGGGGAAUAUUGCACAAUGGGCGGAAGCUUGAUGCAGCAACGCCGCGUGCGGGAUGACGGCCUUCGGGUUGUAAACCGCUUUCGCCUGUGACGAAGCGUGAGUGACGGUAAUGGGUAAAGAAGCACCGGCUAACUACGUG
rnacentral:rRNA from 1 species